rnacentral:rRNA from 1 species
UACAGAGGUCUCAAGCGUUGUUCGGAUUCAUUGGGCGUAAAGGGCGCGUAGGCGGCGGGGUAAGUCGGGUGUGAAAUCUCAGGGCUCAACCCUGAAACUGCACUCGAUACUGCUCUGCUUGAGGACUGGAGAGGAGACUGGAAUUCACGGUGUAGCAGUGAAAUGCGUAGAUAUCGUGAGGAAGACCAGUGGCGAAGGCGGGUCUCUGGACAGUUCCUGACGCUGAGGCGCGAAGGCCAGGGGAGAAAACGGG